AGUGAACGCUGGCGGUAGGCCUAACACAUGCAAGUCGAACGGCAGCACAGUAAGUGCUUGCUCUUACUGGUGGCGAGUGGCGGACGGGUGAGGUAUACAUCGGAAUCUACUUUUUCGUGGGGGAUAACGUAGGGAAACUUACGCUAAUACCGCAUACGACCUACGGUUGUAAGCAGUUGAUCUUCUGACCUUUCGCGUUUGUAUGAGCCGAUUUCGGAUUUGCUAGUUGGCUGGGUAAAGGCCCACCAAGGCGACGAUCCGUAGCUGGUCUGAGAGGAGGAUAAGAGAAACUGGAAGGGAGACACGGAAAAGAGGACUAAGGGAGGGAGCAGUGGGGAAUAGGGGACAAUGGGGGAAAGCAUGAUACAGCAAUAGCGAGUGGGUGAAGAAGGCGUUGGGGUUGUAAAGACGUUUUGUGGGGAAAGAAAAGCAGCAGGUUAAGAAGAAGCUGUAGUGACGGUACCCAAAGAAUAAGCACCGGCUAACUACGUG
rnacentral:rRNA from 1 species